rnacentral:rRNA from 1 species
GAUGAACGCUAGCGGCAGGCCUAAAACAUGCAAGUCGAGGGGCAGCACAUAAAGUGGUUUACUACUUUUGGUGGCGACCGGCGGACGGGUGCGUAACGCGUAUGCAACCUGCCUCCAACAGGGGGAUUACGGAGAGAACUUUCCACUAAUAACCCAUAAUAUAAGAAUCGGCAGCGGUUUUGGUUGAAAACUCCGGUGGAUGGAAAUGGGCAUGCGUUGUAUUAGAUAGUUGGUGAGGUAACGGCUCACCAAGUCAACGAUACAUAGGGGGACUGAGAGGUUAGCCCCCCACACUGGUACUGAGACACGGACCAGACUCCUACGGGAGGCAGCAGUGAGGAAUAUUGGUCAAUGGUGGCAACCCUGAACCAGCCAUGCCGCGUGCAGGAAGACGGCUCUAUGAGUUGUAAACUGCUUUUACAAGGGGAUAAAUCGGUGUACGUGUACACCGUUGAAGGUACCUUGGGAAUAAGGAUCGGCUAACUCCGUGCCAGCCGCCGCGGUAA